GAACGAACGCUGGCGGCAGGCCUAACACAUGCAAGUCGAGCGCCCUUUCGGGGGAGCGGCGGACGGGUGAGUAACGCGUGGGAAUAUGCCCUUCUCUACGGAAUAGCCUCGGGAAACUGAGAGUAAUACCGUAUACGCCCUAUGGGGGAAAGAUUUAUCGGGGAAGGAUUAGCCCGCGUUGGAUUAGGUAGUUGGUGGGGUAAUGGCCUACCAAGCCGACGAUCCAUAGCUGGUUUGAGAGGAUGAUCAGGCACACUGGGACUGAGACACGGCCCAGACUCCUACGGGAGGCAGCAAGGGGGGAUCUUAGACAAUGGGGGGAAACCUGAACUAGCCAUGCCGCGUGAGUGAUGGAGGCCUUAAGGUUGUAAAGCUCUUUCAGCUGGGAAGAUAAUGACGGUACCAGCAGAAGAAGCCCCGGCUAACUCCGUG
rnacentral:rRNA from 1 species